CCCUGGCUCAGAUUGAACGCUGGCGGCAGGCCUAACACAUGCAAGUCGAGCGGAUGACAGGAGCUUGCUCCUGAAUUCAGCGGCGGACGGGUGAGUAAUGCCUAGGAAUCUGCCUGGUAGUGGGGGACAACGUUUCGAAAGGAACGCUAAUACCGCAUACGUCCUACGGGAGAAAGCAGGGGACCUUCGGGCCUUGCGCUAUCAGAUGAGCCUAGGUCGGAUUAGCUAGUUGGUGAGGUAAUGGCUCACCAAGGCGACGAUCCGUAACUGGUCUGAGAGGAUGAUCAGUCACACUGGAACUGAGACACGGUCCAGACUCCUACGGGAGGCAGCAGUGGGGAAUAUUGGACAAUGGGCGAAAGCCUGAUCCAGCCAUGCCGCGUGUGUGAAGAAGGUCUUCGGAUUGUAAAGCACUUUAAGUUGGGAGGAAGGGCAGUAAAUUAAUACUUUGCUGUUUUGACGUUACCGACAGAAUAAGCACCGGC
rnacentral:rRNA from 1 species